CGCACACUCUUUUCCGCAUUCUUCCUCAUGGCCAAAAGCAAAUAUUUAUUCCCCGCAUAUUUUUCCUUUUCUUUCAGGCUCCGGGUUUGAAACCUGUGGAUUUCCCCGGCCAAACAUUGCUUGACUGGCAUGAAUUGGGUCGGUUUGUUUCCCUCUGGUUUCUCGAGGCUGCUUCUGAAAAAUCGAGUUGCAGCGGGGCGGGGGGAGAAGGGGGAAGGGAAGACAGCUCGAUGGGGCAGCGCUGCUUUACAUACGGGUUAGACACGGCUAGAGGCCAAGGUCAAGUUGAAAGUUGCAGUCUAGCCAAUGUGAGAACUGUCAUUCAGAGCCCGAUGAUCUGUCUGAUUUGUUGAAAAGCAAGUAGCCAUGAGAACAUGAAUCUCCCCAGCUCGUCUGUCCCCCCUCC
rfam:Leptosomus discolor contig84143, whole genome shotgun sequence.